rnacentral:rRNA from 1 species
UACGGAGGGUGCAAGCGUUAAUCGGAAUUACUGGGCGUAAAGCGUACGUAGGCGGCUAUUUAAGUCGGAUGUGAAAGCCCUGGGCUCAACCUGGGAACUGCAUCCGAUACUGGAUAGCUCGAGUAUGAGAGAGGGUAGUGGAAUUUCAGGUGUAGCGGUGAAAUGCGUAGAUAUCUGAAGGAACACCAGUGGCGAAGGCGACUGCCUGGCUCAAGACUGACGCUGAGGUACGAAAGCGUGGGGAGCAAACAGG